CCUACGGGGGGCAGCAGUCGAGAAUCAUUCACAAUGGGGGAAACCCUGAUGGUGCGACGCCGCGUGGGGGAAUGAAGGUCUUCGGAUUGUAAACCCCUGUCAUGUGGGAGCAAAUUAAAAAGAUAGUACCACAAGAGGAAGAGACGGCUAACUCUGUGCCAGCAGCCGCGGUAAUACAGAGGUCUCAAGCGUUGUUCGGAAUCACUGGGCGUAAAGCGUGCGUAGGCUGUUUCGUAAGUCGUGUGUGAAAGGCGCGGGCUCAACCCGCGGACGGCACCUGAUACUGCGAGACUAGAGUAAUGGAGGGGGAACCGGAAUUCUCGGUGUAGCAGUGAAAUGCGGAGAUAUCGAGAGGAACACUCGUGGCGAAGGCGGGUUCCUGGACAUUAACUGACGCUGAGGCACGAAGGCCAGGGGAGCGAAAGGGAUUAGAUACCCUGGUAGUC
rnacentral:rRNA from 1 species